rnacentral:rRNA from 1 species
UAUAACCGGCGAUUUCCGAAUGGGGAAACCCAGUGUGUUUCGACACACUAUCAUUAACUGAAUCCAUAGGUUAAUGAGGCGAACCGGGGGAACUGAAACAUCUAAGUACCCCGAGGAAAAGAAAUCAACCGAGAUUCCCCCAGUAGCGGCGAGCGAACGGGGAGCAGCCCAGAGCCUGAAUCAGUGUGUGUGUUAGUGGAAGCGUCUGGAAAGGCGCGCGAUACAGGGUGACAGCCCCGUACACAAAAAUGCACAUGCUGUGAGCUCGAUGAGUAGGGCGGGACACGUGGUAUCCUGUCUGAAUAUGGGGGGACCAUCCUCCAAGGCUAAAUACUCCUGACUGACCGAUAGUGAACCAGUACCGUGAGGGAAAGGCGAAAAGAACCCCGGCGAGGGGAGUGAAAAAGAACCUGAAACCGUGUACGUACAAGCAGUGGGAGCACGCUUCGGCGUGUGACUGCGUACCUUUUGUAUAAUGGGUCAGCGACUUAUAUUCUGUAGCAAGGUUAACCGAAUAGGGGAGCCGAAGGGAAACCGAGUCUUAACUGGGCGUUAAGUUGCAGGGUAUAGACCCGAAACCCGGUGAUCUAGCCAUGGGCAGGUUGAAGGUUGGGUAACACUAACUGGAGGACCGAACCGACUAAUGUUGAAAAAUUAGCGGAUGACUUGUGGCUGGGGGUGAAAGGCCAAUCAAACCGGGAGAUAGCUGGUUCUCCCCGAAAGCUAUUUAGGUAGCGCCUCGUGAAUUCAUCUCCGGGGGUAGAGCACUGUUUCGGCAAGGGGGUCAUCCCGACUUACCAACCCGAUGCAAACUGCGAAUACCGGAGAAUGUUAUCACGGGAGACACACGGCGGGUGCUAACGUCCGUCGUGAAGAGGGAAACAACCCAGACCGCCAGCUAAGGUCCCAAAGUCAUGGUUAAGUGGGAAACGAUGUGGGAAGGCCCAGACAGCCAGGAUGUUGGCUUAGAAGCAGCCAUCAUUUAAAGAAAGCGUAAUAGCUCACUGGUCGAGUCGGCCUGCGCGGAAGAUGUAACGGGGCUAAACCAUGCACCGAAGCUGCGGCAGCGACGCUUAUGCGUUGUUGGGUAGGGGAGCGUUCUGUAAGCCUGUGAAGGUGUGCUGUGAGGCAUGCUGGAGGUAUCAGAAGUGCGAAUGCUGACAUAAGUAACGAUAAAGCGGGUGAAAAGCCCGCUCGCCGGAAGACCAAGGGUUCCUGUCCAACGUUAAUCGGGGCAGGGUGAGUCGACCCCUAAGGCGAGGCCGAAAGGCGUAGUCGAUGGGAAACAGGUUAAUAUUCCUGUACUUGGUGUUACUGCGAAGGGGGGACGGAGAAGGCUAUGUUGGCCGGGCGACGGUUGUCCCGGUUUAAGCGUGUAGGCUGGUUUUCCAGGCAAAUCCGGAAAAUCAAGGCUGAGGCGUGAUGACGAGGCACUACGGUGCUGAAGCAACAAAUGCCCUGCUUCCAGGAAAAGCCUCUAAGCAUCAGGUAACAUCAAAUCGUACCCCAAACCGACACAGGUGGUCAGGUAGAGAAUACCAAGGCGCUUGAGAGAACUCGGGUGAAGGAACUAGGCAAAAUGGUGCCGUAACUUCGGGAGAAGGCACGC